rnacentral:rRNA from 1 species
UACAGAGGGUGCGAGCGUUGUCCGGAAUCACUGGGCGUAAAGGGCGCGUAGGUGGCGACCCAAGUCCAUGGUGAAAGCUCGAUGCUCAACAUCGAGUCGGCCACGGAUACUGGGUUGCUGGAGCACUGUAGAGGCAGAUGGAAUUCCGGGUGUAGCGGUGGAAUGCGUAGAGAUCCGGAAGAACACCGGUGGCGAAGGCGGUCUGCUGGGCAGUUGCUGACACUGAUGCGCGACAGCGUGGGGAGCAAACAGG